rnacentral:lncRNA from 10 species
UUUUACUGGAAGGAGAGUGCGCUGGGAGGAGGGAAGAGGGGGAGGGAGUUUCUGGUUUUGCAUGAAGCAGCAGAACAUGAUGAAGCAUUUUUCCCCCAUCUAAAGAUCCAGUCGUGCUCCAGUUUGCAGAGGGCAAGGGGCUGGUUGCAGGUGGUGCUGGGAGGAUGGAGUAGAGAUGGGGUUUCACCGUGUUAACCAGGAAUGUCUCGAUCUCCUGACCUCGUGAUCCACCCGCCUCAGCCUCCCAAAGUGUUGGGAUUACAGGCGUGAGCUACCACGCCCGGCCCUAGGCUCCACAACUCUAAGAAGCUUUGGAAAGCCCAACGUGUAAACUGAUGACAGACUAUCCUGGAGGAAGAGGUGGGGCAGCCUGGAGUUUUCCUCUGGACAUCCUGAGAGGGAUACUGAAGCACUCAGGAGGGGUCUUAGACCUGCCCAAGCUCACUCACACAGUUUGAGAAGAGCUGCGCUUAGACCACAGGCCUCUUGGCUCCUGGGAAGCUGAGAGCAUCGGCGUGGGAGUUCGUCAGACAGGGGCAAGUUCCAACCGCAGCUCAGUGACCUCAGACAAGCCCCCUCACCUCGCAGAACCAGGUUCUUCUUCAGAGUUGUAGGAAGGAGUGGAGGAGGGUCUCCGCAUGUCAGAUGUCCACACAGUGCCUGGGAGCUGAGGUUGUCAUGGUUACCAAGAGGCCAGUCUCAGGGCUGCUGUGAUGACCUGGGCUGCUCUCCCAUUCCCAAGAAGGGGAGAACUCCUCAGAUUCCCUACUCUGCUCUUCUUGCUCCCUCCCAAGCAAUACAUGAGCAGGAAUUUGUCCUCUGCAGGAAUGUGCAGCGAGAAAGUCUCCUUUUUUGAUGAGACAGCGAUGAGGUGAUGUCUGGUUUUUUAUAUCCUCACUUGCUGAACUGGUGCCAGAUGUAAGAGUCCAGGCUGGAUUCCAUUAGCCAUAUUUGUCCUCUGGGCUCCCAGCCCUGCAGGACCUUCUGGGGGCCCACCUUGAGACCCUCCAGUUGGUAAGAAGUUGGCUGGGGCAAAUGAUGCAGCCCUAAGACGAACCAUUUCCACUGGGGACUCAGGCAGGGUCCCUGAGAGCCUGACUUACUCGAGUCUUUUCUUUAAAAAUUAAAAAAACAAGGCUGGGCGCGGUGGCUCACGCCUGUAAUCCC